ACAGACGAAGGCGACUAUCAGGUAAAACUCCGCAGCCUGAUUCGCUUUCUUGAAGAUGGCGAUAAAGCCAAGGUCACAUUACGUUUUCGUGGUCGUGAAAUGGCUCACCAACAGUUAGGUUCUGAAAUGCUUGAUCGCAUUAAAGAAGAUUUAGCUGAUUUGGCGAUUAUUGAAUCUUAUCCAACUAAGAUUGAAGGACGCCAAAUGAUCAUGGUACUUGCGCCGAAGAAAAAGUAAUGGUUCUACAAGUGAAUUUUUAAAUUAUUGAAAAUUACACCAUUAUUUUAUUUUUAUUAACAAUGCGAAGUGGAAAUUAAUAAAAUGCCUA
rnacentral:misc_RNA from 1 species